GAUGAACGCUGGCGGCGUGCCUAAUACAUGCAAGUCGAGCGAACAGACGAGGAGCUUGCUCCUCUGACGUUAGCGGCGGACGGGUGAGUAACACGUGGAUAACCUACCUAUAAGACUGGGAUAACUUCGGGAAACCGGAGCUAAUACCGGAUAAUAUAUUGAACCGCAUGGUUCAAUAGUGAAAGACGGUUUUGCUGUCACUUAUAGAUGGAUCCGCGCCGCAUUAGCUAGUUGGUAAGGUAACGGCUUACCAAGGCAACGAUGCGUAGCCGACCUGAGAGGGGGAUCGGCCACACUGGAACUGAGACACGGUCCAGACUCCUACGGGAGGCAGCAGUAGGGAACCUUCCGCAAUGGGCGAAAGCUUGACGGAGCAACGCCGCGUGAGUGAUGAAGGUCUUCGGAUCGUAAAACUCUGUUAUGAGGGAAGAACAAAUGUGUAAGUAACUAUGCACGUCUUGACGGUACCUAAUCAGAAAGCCACGGCUAACUACGUG
rnacentral:rRNA from 1 species